AGUGAACGCUGGCGGUAGACCUAACACAUGCAAGUCGAACGGCAGCACAGUAAGAGCUUGCUCUUACGGGUGGCGAGUGGCGGACGGGUGAGGAAUACAUCGGAAUCUACUUUUUCGUGGGGGAUAACGUAGGGAAACUUACGCUAAUACCGCAUACGACCUACGGGUGAAAGCAGGGGAUCUUCGGACCCUGCGCGAUUGAAUGAGCCGAUGUCGGAUUAGCUAGUUGGCGGGGUAAAGGCCCACCAAGGCGACGAUCCGUAGCUGGUCUGAGAGGAUGAUCAGCCACACUGGAACUGAGACACGGUCCAGACUCCUACGGGAGGCAGCAGUGGGGAAUAUUGGACAAUGGGCGCAAGCCUGAUCCAGCCAUACCGCGUGGGUGAAGAAGGCCUUCGGGUUGUAAAGCCCUUUUGUUGGGAAAGAAAAGCAGCAGGUUAAUACCCCGCUGUUCUGACGGUACCCAAAGAAUAAGCACCGGCUAACUUCGUG
rnacentral:rRNA from 1 species